UGUGGGUACCGUCACCCCAUACGCUAUUAACGCUGGAAGCUUCGUCCCCACUGAAAGCGGUUUACAACCCUAAGGCCGUCUUCCCGCACGCGGCGUUGCUGCGUCAGACUUUCGUCCAUUGCGCAAGAUUCCC
rnacentral:rRNA from 1 species